CUAAGGCUCCAGAGGAAGCCACGGCUAACUCUGUGCCAGCAGCCGCGGUAAUACAGAGGCGGCAAGCGUUGUUCGGAAUUAUUGGGCGUAAAGAGCACGUAGGCGGCCUUGCAAGUCAGUUGUGAAAGCCUUCCGCUUAACGGAAGAAUGCCAGCUGAUACUACAGGGCUUGAGUACGGGAGGGGAGAGUGGAACUUCUGGUGGAGCGGUGAAAUGCGUAGAUAUCAGAAGGAACGCCGGCGGCGAAAGCGACUCUCUGGCCCGAAACUGACGCUGAGUGUGCGAAAGCUAGGGGAGCAAACGGGAUCAGAUACCCCGGUAGUCCUAGCCGUAAA
rnacentral:rRNA from 1 species